AUCGCUUCUUGGCCUUUUGGCUAAGAUCAAGUGCAGAUGUUCUCUGGAUAUUACAUUCUUUUAAUGCAGUGGUUCUCAAUGAGGGGUGAUUUCACCCCAGAGGGACACUUGGCAAUAUCUGGACACACUAUUGGUUGUCAUAACAGGG
rnacentral:snRNA from 1 species